ACUUCGAUUCUGUUAGUCAUAAGAAUAUCUCCCAAGUCCCAAGUGACGGAGAAAAUCACUCAGACCCACCUGCCAAAAGAAUCUAAUUCCUAAAGCCUCCGAUUUCCUGAGCGUGAAAGAUGAGUGGUGGUGCACGAAUUUGCAAAUUUGAGACGGCCUUCAAGUCCAUGCAGAAAAACGCCUUCACGGAAUCCGGGAAAGCCAACCAGAUCAGGCGGUUUUCCGCUACCAUGGUUCAGGCUGCUAAGAGAAGAAACGGCGACGAAAAGCGGAGGAGAGAAGCCGAGAAGGCCGAGAAUGUCAUGCACUUGAUCUGUUGGGGUCCCAAUUAAGCCCAAUCCUCAUUUUCUUUUUCCUCCUUUUCCUUCUAUUAUAUAUCCUUAAUUCUUUCUUUCUUUUCUUUUUCUGUGGCGAGCGAAAAUACUAUUUACAAGAUGUUUGUGUUAGAAAUUUGUAAAGAAGUUCUGUAAAAUCACAAACUUCACUACCAUAUACUAAACGUGUUCAUGUUCUUCUAGCUAACAGAAUCAAGUUGGGUAUAAAUAUGGUGUGAUCAUCGCAAAAGAAGUGGACCAUCGAUUGAGAAGUCAGAAUUGAUGCAUAUAACACCAAAUAUAUUGUUUCAAUCUAUACAUCGGAAAUUGAAUUCAAGCAUAGACAAACCAGAUGACACACUAUCGCCUCAUCUGAUCCACAUGAAAUAAGAGCUUCUAAUUUAAACACAGAUAAAUCUUUCUCUCCUCGACCUCGUCCUUUCUUCCCCUGUUUUACCCAGUUAACCAGUUAUCAGAAGAAGAAUGUUUUCAUUCAAACAUUGCAAGUGUCAUUCCAAUCUCCCUUUCUGAUUAAACCUUGAAAGUUUUCGAAGUAAACCAAGGCUUUUUACCAAGCAAGGAAGGCUCUUGGGGGAAGCUAGUGGUAACUGGUGAGAGGGUGUCAAGGAGAAGAAAUUAAAAGAGACGUAGUUUGUUGACCCUAUAAGAAGCCGGUAUGUGUUACUUCGGAUCUGCUACCCACAAGUUCCCACAUCCUUACGCACAGACUACCAGACGACGAGACCGGAUCUGCUCCUCACCCAGAGCGCCCUCACACCGACCUCACAGGUACAUUCCACCGUGUAGGAGCAGAUCCCAAUUCACAGAGGAGCACCGCGCAGCUGUAAUGUCUCUCGUGGGUAGCAGAUUCGAGCCCGGUAUGUGUAACGUUUUCUUUUCGAUUAACGGUGUAUGUAACAGUGUAAAGAAAAAUGGCGUGUUAGGAAAAAACAAUAAACAUUUUUCCCCCGUUCCCCCUUUUGCUGCCUGUAUUUCACUUUUGUGAGCUCGCCCUAGCACUCGGAGAUGAAUGACGAGUUAAUUCAAUAACUCGGACUUUUUGAUUCAGUAAUUUUAAGUGCAACAAGAGCUGAUAAACCAUACAUGAUUA